AGUGAACGCUGGCGGUAGGCCUAACACAUGCAAGUCGAACGGCAGCACAGUAAGAGCUUGCUCUUACGGGUGGCGAGUGGCGGACGGGUGAGGAAUACAUCGGAAUCUACUUUUUCGUGGGGGAUAACGUAGGGAAACUUACGCUAAUACCGCAUACGACCUACGGGUGAAAGCAGGGGAUCUUCGGACCUUUCGCGAUUGAAUGAGCCGAUGUGGGAUUAGCUAGUUGGCGGGGUAAAGGCCCACCAAGGCGACGAUCCGUAGCUGGUCUGAGAGGAUGAUCAGCGACACUGGAACUGAGACACGGUCCAGAGUCCUACGGGAGGGAGCAGUGGGGAAUAUUGGAUAAUGGGCGCAAGCAUGAUCCAGCGAUACCGCGUGGGUGAAGAAGGCCUUCGGGUUGUAAAGCCCUUUUGUUGGGAAAGAAAAGCAGCAGGUUAAUAACACGCUGUUGUGACGGUACCCAAAGAAUAAGCACCGGCUAACUUCGUG
rnacentral:rRNA from 1 species